CCUGGCUCAGGACGAACGCUGGCGGUCUUAAUACAUGCAAGUCGAGCGAUCGGCCUGGGGGCUUGCCCCUGAGGUACGGAGCGGCGAACGGGUGAGUAACACGUGAGCAACCUGCCUCGGAGACGGGGAUAACGUUGGGAAACCAGCGCUAAUACCCGAUGACCCGGUAGGGGGGCAUCCCCCAGCCGGCAAAUGUUCCGGCGCUCCGAGAGGGGCUCACGGCCUAUCAGCUUGUUGGCGGGGUAAAGGCCCACCAAGGCUACGACGGGUAACUGGCGUGAGAGCGCGACCAGUCACACCGGGACUGAGAUACGGCCCGGACUCCUACGGGAGGCAGCAGUAGGGAAUAUUGGACAAUGGGCGAAAGCCUGAUCCAGCGACGCCGCGUGAGGGAUGAAGGCCUUCGGGUUGUAACCUCUGUUGUUAGGAAAGAAGCCGGGUGCAUAACCCGGUGACGGUACCUAACGAGGAAGCCCCGGCUAACUACGUGCCAGCAGCCGCGGUGAGACGUAGGGGCGAGCGUUGUCCGGAUUCACUGGGCGUAAAGGGCGCGUAGGCGGGUACGCAAGUCGAUGUGAAAAGUCAUGGCUUAACUGUGAUCGUGCAUUCAAACUGCGUUGACUUGAGGUCGGUAAAGCAAAUGGAACUAACCGGUGUACGGUAAAUGCGCAAAUUUCGU
rnacentral:rRNA from 1 species